UGAGGAAUAUUGGUCAAUGGACGAGAGUCUGAACCAGCCAAGUAGCGUGAAGGAUGACUGCCCUAUGGGUUGUAAACUCCUUUUAUAUGGGAAUAAAACGUUCCACGUGUGGGAUUUUGUAUGUACCAUAUGAAUAAGGAUCGGCUAACUCCGUGCCAGCAGCCGCGGUAAUACGGAGGAUCCGAGCGUUAUCCGGAUUUAUUGGGUUUAAAGGGAGCGUAGGUGGAUUGUUAAGUCAGUUGUGAAAGUUUGCGGCUCAACCGUAAAAUUGCAGUUGAAACUGGCAGUCUUGAGUACAGUAGAGGUGGGCGGAAUUCGUGGUGUAGCGGUGAAAUGCUUAGAUAUCACGAAGAACUCCGAUUGCGAAGGCAGCUCACUGGACUGCAACUGACACUGAGGCUCGAAAGUGUGGGUAUCAAACAGG
rnacentral:rRNA from 1 species